rnacentral:rRNA from 1 species
GAACGGGAAAACGGGGGCAACCCUGUGAGUACAGUGGCGUACGGGUGAGUAACACGUGACUACCUACCCUCGAGUGGGGGAUAACCCCGGGAAACCGGGGCUAAUACCGCAUAACAUCGCAAGAUCAAAGGAGUAAUCCGCUUGAGGAGGGGGUCGCGGCUGAUUAGCUAGUUGGUGAGGUAAUGGCUCACCAAGGCGAUGAUCGGUAGCCGGCCUGAGAGGGCGCACGGCCACACUGGAACUGAAACACGGUCCAGACUCCUACGGGAGGCAGCAGUGGGGAAUUUUGCGCAAUGGGGGAAACCCUGACGCAGCAACGCCGCGUGGAGGAUGAAGUCCCUUGGGACGUAAACUCCUUUCGACCCGGACGAUAAUGACGGUACGGGUGGAAGAAGCACCGGCUAACUUCGUG